UGGGGAAUUUUGGACAAUGGGGGAAACCCUGAUCCAGCAAUGCCGCGUGUGCGAAGAAGGCCUUCGGGUUGUAAAGCACUUUUGUCAGGGAAGAAAUCCUUUGGGCUAAUACCCUAGGGGGAUGACGGUACCUGAAGAAUAAGCACCGGCUAACUACGUGCCAGCAGCCGCGGUAAUACGUAGGGUGCAAGCGUUAAUCGGAAUUACUGGGCGUAAAGCGUGCGCAGGCGGUUGUGUAAGACAGGUGUGAAAUCCCCGGGCUUAACCUGGGAAUUGCAUUUGUGACUGCACGACUAGAGUGUGUCAGAGGGGGGUGGAAUUCCACGUGUAGCAGUGAAAUGCGUAGAUAUGUGGAGGAACACCAAUGGCGAAGGCAGCCCCCUGGGAUAACACUGACGCUCAUGCACGAAAGCGUGGGGAGCAAACAGGAUUAGAUACCCUGGUAGUCCACGCCCUAAACGAUGUCAACUAGUUGUUGGGGAUUUACUUCCUUGGUAACGUAGCUAACGCGUGAAGUGACCGCC
rnacentral:rRNA from 1 species